AUCAAACAUUCAAUCCACAGCAAACCAUUGAUAAACAUGUUAACAACAUAUCUAAGCAUCCCACGAAACCCUAAGUAUGAAUCUUAGCCCCAACCGAUUAAUCCAAUCUUGCUUCAUGAAAUUCAAGAUCUAGAGUUUACCUUUUUGUGAUUUUUGGCGAUUUCAAUUGCAAUUGAGCUAAUAGAUUUUCGUCAGAGUUCAAUCGUAGACUUGAGGGUCACGUCCAGAUGUCCUAUGAACCAGAUCAGGACUAGCUGAGGGAGCGGUCGAACUGUUAGUCCGCCUAGGGCAGAACCAGUCCCGCCUGGACCAGCUUGGGAUCGCUGGAAGGACUCGAGGUCGAUCCUCCAAUCUCUAACCACCACUUGGUCAGGGAUGGUCUUAGGGAGCGAUCAGACCCGGUCCAGCAGUGGUUGGAUUACCGUUGGUCGCCGGCUUCGUCAAAAAGACAACCAGUCCAAAACUAGAUCGGUCCUUUAAUGCCUGGAGCAAAUCAAGCCACCAUAACUGUUCCGGUAGCUAAUCUGAAGAUCUCCGACCACCAGGGGAUCGGGGAUGGAGCUAGGGGUAGGUCAGGCUUUGUUCGACACGAGCUAAGUCGCCGCAAGUCGUUCGUCCAGGUGGCCAAAGCUAUUGCUUCGAAUAGGAUCGGUUUAGGUGUCACGGAGGCUUGGCUUGAUCAAAACAGCUCCGAUCAAGUCUAAUUCGAUUUGCGACCAGAGGAAUCAAUCGCCGAGGGGGUUGGUCAUAGGCCGGAUGGUAGCUGGCGCGAUUCUGGCAGAGUUAGACCAACGGACACCAGUUCGGCUAGAGAGAGAAGAGAGGGAGAGCCAAGGGUUUUGGCAUUUAAAAUGGAGAGGAGAGUGAGAAAGGAUCAGUUUAGAGAGAGAGAGAG
rnacentral:lncRNA from 1 species